rnacentral:rRNA from 1 species
UACGAAGGGGGCUAGCGUUGUUCGGAUUUACUGGGCGUAAAGCGCACGCAGGCGGCUAAACAAGUCAGAGGUGAAAUCCCAGGGCUCAACCUUGGAACUGCCUUUGAAACUGUUUAGCUAGAGAUCGAGAGAGGAUAGUGGAAUUCCUAGUGUAGAGGUGAAAUUCGUAGAUAUUAGGAGGAACACCAGUGGCGAAGGCGGCUAUCUGGCUCGAUACUGACGCUCAUGUGCGAAAGCGUGGGGAGCAAAC